rnacentral:rRNA from 1 species
GACGAACGCUGGCGGCGUGCUUAACACAUGCAAGUCGAACGGAAAGGCCCUGCUUUUGUGGGGUGCUCGAGUGGCGAACGGGUGAGUAACACGUGAGUAACCUGCCCUUGACUUUGGGAUAACUUCAGGAAACUGGGGCUAAUACCGGAUAGGAGCUCCUGCUGCAUGGUGGGGGUUGGAAAGUUUCGGCGGUUGGGGAUGGACUCGCGGCUUAUCAGCUUGUUGGUGGGGUAGUGGCUUACCAAGGCUUUGACGGGUAGCCGGCCUGAGAGGGUGACCGGCCACAUUGGGACUGAGAUACGGCCCAGACUCCUACGGGAGGCAGCAGGGGGGAAUAUUGCACAAUGGGCGGAAGCCUGAUGCAGCAACGCCGAGUGCGGGAUGACGGCCUUCGGGUUGUAAACCGCUUUCGCCUGUGACGAAGCGUGAGUGACGGUAAUGGGUAAAGAAGCACCGGCUAACUACGUG